GACGAACGCUGGCGGCGUGCUUAACACAUGCAAGUCGAACGGAAAGGCCCUGCUUUUGUGGGGUGCUCGAGUGGCGAACGGGUGAGUAACACGUGAGUAACCUGCCCUUGACUUUGGGAUAACUUCAGGAAACUGGGGCUAAUACCGGAUAGGAGCUCCUGCUGCAUGGUGGGGGUUGGAAAGUUUCGGCGGUUGGGGAUGGACUCGCGGCUUAUCAGCUUGUUGGUGGGGUAGUGGCUUACCAAGGCUUUGACGGGUAGCCGGCCUGAGAGGGUGACCGGCCACAUUGGGACUGAGAUACGGCCCAGACUCCUACGGGAGGCAGCAGUGGGGAAUAUUGCACAAUGGGCGGAAGCCUGAUGCAGCAACGCCGCGUGCGGGAUGACGGCCUUCGGGUUGUAAACCGCUUUCGCCUGUGACGAAGCGUGAGUGACGGUAAUGAGUGAAGAAGCACCGGCUAACUACGUG
rnacentral:rRNA from 1 species